rnacentral:rRNA from 1 species
GGAUCAAAUUGUCGGUCGUGCCUCGGUACGUACUGGCAUUAUUGGUUCCUCCUCUGAAGAACCACGAUGUCAUUAAUUUGGUGUCGCGGGGAAGUCAGGACUGUUACUUUGUAAAAUUAAGAGUGUUUAAAGUACAGGCUCGCGCUUGAAUACAUUAGCAUGGAAUAAAUGAAAUAGGACGUUUGUAUUCUAUUUUGUUGGUUUCUUAGGAUCGACGUAAUGAUUAAUAGGGAUAGUUGGG